rnacentral:lncRNA from 1 species
CGUGGGCAAGAUAACUGUGCGUUAGAGCAGUUAUCCUACCCUGACCCCGAAGACAUAGCUAUUUCAUCAUCUUUCUACAUUAAAAAAAAAAAAAAAAAAUUUGGCCACAACCCACGGGCAUGUGGGAUCUUAGUUCCCCAACCAGGAAUCGAACCCAUCACCCUCCAGUGGAAGUGUGGAGUCCUAACCACUGGACGGCCAGGGAAGUCCUAUCCCAUCAUCUUAGCAGAUCAUAGUCUGAUUAACCCCGCUCCUGUCUUGGGUGUUUUUAUUGUUGCUAUAAUGCCAUGCUUAUCUUUGAACAAAGUAUGCUGUUUUAUUUGUCCCUUCUGGCUUAUACUCAUUAAGUAUAUUUCCCCAGUUGGGAUGACCAGGGGCCCUACCAACUCAUCAACAGGGUUUUAAUUAUUUCAUAGCUCUUGUUUGUUAUACUAUUAUCAAACGGCUCUCUAGAAAUCCCGGUGCAAAAGAGUGCAGCAUCAGCAAUGUUUCGUGUUUCCCAUAGCCUCAGCAGCACUGGAUUUUAAUGUUUUCAGUUAUGUUUGUUAAUUCCUUUGCACCCAUGAGAAAGUGCCUUUACAGAGAUGUUACUGAAGUCCUUUACAGUUUUAACACUUUGAGGGAGUUCCUCUACCCUAGAGUACGUGGCAGAUAAAAUUUGGUUCUUCCAGCCCUAGCACAUUCCCUACCCUCUGGCCUGCCCUCUGAUGCACGCAGCCAAAGGGACAUUCACAAGUCCCGAGUUAGAAAAGUGAUGACAUCGCAAAAUGCAGUAACAGGAAUCAAGCUUUCACUUCUGUUUUACAAAAGAGGCUUUUGGAAACUCACAGCUGAGACUAGAGUUUUAAGGGUGGGAGGAAGAAAGCUUUCUGGGUUUCAAAGCCUGGCUUUUGAGCCUGAGAAGCCUCAGGCCUGAAGGACUCAGGGCAUACGGUGGAGGCAUAAAUAAUAGAUUUGGAAGAAUAGGUGAUCAGUCAGAGGCAGACAGCUCUGCCCCGGGCUAUAAAGUUUCUCCGGGCUGAGGGAGCUGAGAAGUGUAGAAGGAAGAGAGGGUUUAACUGGUGGGUCCCGAAGGGCGGAGGUCUGUGACAGAAACCCUGAGGGGCUGCUUGAAGGCCAGUUCCCCACUUGUGCCCGAGCAGCGGCCUGAGCAGCGUGGGGAGGGUAUGGAUUCACCCAUCCAUUCAGGAAGGCGCUGCUUUGAGCCCUGUGGAUGCAAAUAGACAGAGCCCUGCUCUCAUGGAGCUGACAUCCUAACAAGGGGAUAGAGACUCUAAACAAACAAAUAUAAAUAAAU